AACGAACGCUGGCGGCGCGCCUAACACAUGCAAGUCGAACGAGAAGGCGUAGCAAUACGCUUGUAAAGUGGCGAACGGGUGAGGAACACGUGGGUAACCUACCCUCGAGUGGGGAAUAACCAACCGAAAGGUUGGCUAAUGCCGCGUACGCUUCCAUCUCUUUGGAGGUGGAAGGAAAGCUGUACCGUGGGUACAGCGCUCAAGGAUGGGCUCACGUCCUAUCAGCUUGUUGGUAGGGUAACGGCCUACCAAGGCAACGACGGGUAGCUGGUCUGAGAGGACGAUCAGCCACACUGGCACUGCGACACGGGCCAGACUCCUACGGGAGGCAGCAGUGAGGAAUAUUGCGCAAUGGGCGAAAGCCUGACGCAGCGACGCCGCGUGGGGGA
rnacentral:rRNA from 1 species